AUAAAUGAUUUGCCAGUUCUCUCUGUUUACAGAGAUUGAGCAGGCAUUAACCCUUUGUGAACAAUUAUUGUGCUUGACAACUUUGUUGUCUUGCGCUAUAAACCCUAUAUGAUUAUCUGAAUAAGAGUUAAUGAGAAA
rnacentral:misc_RNA from 1 species